CGAACGCUGGCGGCGUGCCUAAUACAUGCAAGUUGAGCGCUGAAGGUUGGUACUUGUACCAACUGGAUGAGCAGCGAACGGGUGAGUAACGCGUGGGGAAUCUGCCUUUGAGCGGGGGACAACAUUUGGAAACGAAUGCUAAUACCGCAUAAAAACUUUAAACACAAGUUUUAAGUUUGAAAGAUGCAAUUACAUCACUCAAAGAUGAUCCCGCGUUGUAUUAGCUAGUUGGUGAGGUAAAGGCUCACCAAGGCGAUGAUACAUAGCCGACCUGAGAGGGUGAUCGGCCACAUUGGGACGGAGACACGGCCCAAACCCCUACGGGAGGCAGCAGUAGGGAAUCUUCGGCAAUGGACGAAAGUCUGACCGAGCAACGCCGCGUGAGUGAAGAAGGUUUUCGGAUCGUAAAACUCUGUUGGUAGAGAAGAACGUUGGUGAGAGUGGAAAGCUCAUCAAGUGACGGUAACUACCCAGAAGGGGACGGCUAACUACGUG
rnacentral:rRNA from 1 species